AGCGAACGCUGGCGGCAGGCUUAACACAUGCAAGUCGAGCGGGCACUUUCGGGUGUCAGCGGCGGACGGGUGAGUAACGCGUGGGAACGUGCCCUCUGGUUCGGAAUAACUCAGGGAGACUUGAGCUAAUACCGGAUACGCCCUUUUGGGGAAAGGCUUGCUGCCGGAGGAUCGGCCCGCGUCUGAUUAGCUAGUUGGUGAGGUAACGGCUCACCAAGGCGACGAUCAGUAGCUGGUCUGAGAGGAUGAUCAGCCACACUGGGACUGAGACACGGCCCAGACUCCUACGGGAGGCAGCAGUGGGGAAUAUUGGACAAUGGGCGCAAGCCUGAUCCAGCCAUGCCGCGUGAGUGAUCAAGGCCUUAGGGUUGUAAAGCUCUUUUAUCCGGGACGAUAAUGACGGUACCGGAGGAAUAAGCCCCGGCUAACUUCGUG
rnacentral:rRNA from 1 species